rnacentral:rRNA from 1 species
AGCGAACGCUGGCGGCAGGCCUAACACAUGCAAGUCGAACGAACUCUUCGGAGUUAGUGGCGGACGGGUGAGUAACCCGUGGGAACGUUCCUUUAGGUUCGGAAUAACUCAGGGAAACUUGUGCUAAUACCGAAUGUGCCCUUCGGGGGAAAGAUUUAUCGCCUCUAGAGCGGCCCGCGUCUGAUUAGCUAGUUGGUGAGGUAAAGGCUCACCAAGGCGACGAUCAGUAGCUGGUCUGAGAGGAUGAUCAGCCACAUUGGGACUGAGACACGGCCCAAACUCCUACGGGAGGCAGCAGUGGGGAAUCUUGCGCAAUGGGCGAAAGCCUGACGCAGCCAUGCCGCGUGAAUGAUGAAGGUCUUAGGAUUGUAAAAUUCUUUCACCGGGGACGAUAAUGACGGUACCCGGAGAAGAAGCCACGGCUAACUUCGUG